rnacentral:misc_RNA from 1 species
CGACAGAGUAUGGCUUAGCAUCUGUGAAUACAUGAAUGAUGAACAGAAACCUGCUUAACUUUCAUCAUCAGAAGUCUUUGACUUGUUUCCGGAAAGUCUCCUCAUCCAUUUCUUCUGCGAUGUAGUAAGAUGAAAUAUUGGUGCACGGUGUGGAGUAUCUGAUGAUUCUCUCACAGUUGUGGAUGGAAGUUCAGCAGGAAGUGCAGAUGCAGUGCUGGUGAAGGCAUUCAAAACAAGAAAUGCCAAUAUGGGGGAAAGAUCUAGAGUCCCUCCAAGUGGUGGAAUAAUCCCACGGAAUAUGUUCAAGUAUGGGUCGCAUAGAGUGCUGAGAGGACUGACAAUGGCAGGAGGGGCAUUUGGG